AUUGAACGCUGGCGGAAUGCUUUACACAUGCAAGUCGAACGGCAGCACGGACUUCGGUCUGGUGGCGAGUGGCGAACGGGUGAGUAAUACAUCGGAACGUGCCCAGUCGUGGGGGAUAACGUAGCGAAAGCUACGCUAAUACCGCGUACGAUCUAAGGAUGAAAGCGGGGGAUCGCAAGACCUCGCGCGAUUGGAGCGGCCGAUGGCAGAUUGGGUAGUUGGUGGGGUAAAGGCCUACCAAGCCGACGAUCAGUAGCUGGUCUGAGAGGACGACCAGCCACACUGUGACAGAGACACGGCGCAGACUCCUACGGGAGGCAGCAGUGGGGAAUAUUGGAGAAUGGGGUCAAGCCUGAUCCAGCCAUUCCGCGUGCAGGAUGAAGGCCCUCGGGUUGUAAACUGCUUUUGUACGGAACGAAAAGGCUCUGGUUAAUACCCGGGGCUCAUGACGGUACCGUAAGAAUAAGCACCGGCUAACUACGUGCCAGCCGCCGCGGUAA
rnacentral:rRNA from 1 species